rnacentral:rRNA from 1 species
UACGUAGGCAGCGAGCGUUGUUCGGAGUUACUGGGCGUAAAGAGUGCGUUGGCGGUUUUCUAAGUUUGGUGUGAAAUCUCCCGGCUUAACUGGGAGGGUGCGCCGAAGACUGGAAGGCUUGAAUCCGGGAGAGGGAUGCGGAAUUCCAGGUGUAGCGGUGAAAUGCGUAGAUAUCUGGAGGAACACCGGUGGCGAAGGCGGCAUCCUGGACCGGUAUUGACGCUGAGGCGCGAAAGCCAGGGGAGCAAACGGG